rnacentral:misc_RNA from 1 species
GCACUCGCCUCUUGGGACUAGGGCUCACCUCACACCGCUUGGUGCCUUUAAUAACAUAUUGCAUGAAGGUUAAUGGAUUUUGUGUAAUUUUGGUUAAUGGAUUUUGUGUACUUUAUGCUUUCAAUUGCAACUUCAAUGAAAUUAGUUUAAUUUCUGUUAAAUUUGUUUUUUCUUCGUAUUAAAGCUUUUCUGGAUUCAUAAAAAUUUCUUUCAUUUUCUGCAGGUUCAAUUUCUAUAAAAUUUUUAUAAAUUUGAUGUGGGUUUUUGGACUUUGGUGUAAAUUUUUUCUUUUUAUUGGAUGUUGUGGUUUUGAUUGGGGAGGCAAGGAGGGGAUUUGUUGUGGGUUUCUAUGGAGGAGUGAUGGGGGGUUGUUAUGGGUGUCAUGAAUGGGUGGAGAGAGAGAGAGAGA